AAAUGCCUUUGGUAACUGUUUAUUUCGUAGUGUAAGCCAUCAAGCUUUUCUAGGUUGUCGGCGACCCUAUAUAGUUCUUGCAGUGUCUUUUUAAAUUUGAAACUUCACACUAUCCUUGGAUCCCUAGUUUUAUUUCUGCAUGCUUUUAGUUGAGUAAUGCAUAUGCAGGGUGUAUCAAAAAAUGUCCCAAAUGGAUAAUUUCCUCAAAAUCACACAAAAUUUGGGAUAUUUUUUCUAACCGUGAGUAAAUAUAUGUGUAUUGUAAUCAAGUUUUUAUUAUUUUGUAAUUUGUAUAUUUCGAAUAAACUAGUGUC
rnacentral:lncRNA from 1 species